rnacentral:lncRNA from 1 species
CAAACUUAGCAAAAGGCCAAUUGACUAUCAAGGUAUAGAAUCAGAAUAAAUAAGAGUUGGCUGAUGAAGCCACAUUCAUUGUAUAUUUUACUCAUUAAAAAUCAACACUGUCAAGAUUUAGUAUAUUUGAACACGUAGAUUUUUGACGUUUAAUUUCCGCACAACCAUUGAAAAGAAAGAUGAGAUAAACAGUUCAACUGAAGAACACCACCACCAACUAUACUAACAACAUUUCUAUAAUUCACAGGGGCAGUGGGUUUUGCUCCAACUUGAUUCAUCUCAUCUAGAUUAAUCUCGAAAGAAUUUUCCCAUAGGAUUAAUAACAGUUAUAACUGUGAUAUUUGUUUCCUCUAACAUAUGGUUCAGUCCCAGUUUAAUGACCUUUUUUAUCAUGCAGGUCAUUGGAAGUGUUGGCCAGUAGUCUACUGGAACAAGCCAAAAUGAAGAUAACAUUCAUAGUGCUUAUUUCAAUUGUCAACUAUGUCAUAUUAUGUAGUUCUGGAAAUGAGCUUUAUUUCAGAAAUUAUAGCUGGAUGCAGUGGCGAAUCCAGGAUUUUAAUUGAGCACGGGCGGUUGUUGAUUGUCGACGGUCGUAAUAAUAACCAAUGCCGUGAGUUGAAAUUACUUAGCCCCCAUUUGGCCCCCAUUAUUUGAUUUAUAAUCGGGAAAUAAUGUUUUUUUUAUUUUAAAAAUGAAUGGUUAUAAAAGAAUGAAAAGUUUUCGAUUUACGUGUAAUAUUAUUUUAUUGAAGAUUGUGUGCUUCAAAAUAGGAAA